rnacentral:rRNA from 1 species
CACUCCUGCGGGAGGCAGCAGUGGGGAAUAUUGCACAAUGGGCGCAAGCCUGAUGCAGCCAUGCCGCGUGUAUGAAGAAGGCCUUCGGGUUGUAAAGUACUUUCAGCGGGGAGGAAGGCGAUAAGGUUAAUAACCUUGUCGAUUGACGUUACCCGCAGAAGAAGCACCGGCUAACUCCGUGCCAGCAGCCGCGGUAAUACGGAGGGUGCAAGCGUUAAUCGGAAUUACUGGGCGUAAAGCGCACGCAGGCGGUCUGUCAAGUCGGAUGUGAAAUCCGGGGCUCAACCUGGGAACUGCAUUCGAAACUGGCAGGCUAGAGUCUUGUAGAGGGGGGUAGAAUUCCAGGUGUAGCGGUGAAAUGCGUAGAGAUCUGGAGGAAUACCGGUGGCGAAGGCGGCCCCCUGGACAAAGACUGACGCUCAGGUGCGAAAGCGUGGGGAGCAAACAGGAUUAGAAACCCCUGUAGUCCCAUGA